CACACAAAGUAGCAACGAACCAAACAAUCAAAUCCCUCAAAUCUUAAAUUUGUAUCUUCUGUCUGCAGACCACUUCAGAGAAGAUGUCCAUCCUCCUGAUUGGUCUCCUAAGGCCAAAAAAGUCCUGGCACACACACUGCAAUCACCUCGAUAUAAAUGUCGUCUCCUGAAGGAGCAGGAAGCCUCAGCUGAGAUGGAGAGACGUUCCACGCCAACGCUCCUCAGUGGAGGACUAAGUAUGAAACUGAUGCCAUCCAGAGAAUUUAGGCCCUCUAUGAAGCCAAGGUGGAUGAGACGAGCUGAAGGUGCAGGUGCCAACGACCGAGUGGCGCACCAAUCUAUCAGACUGCUGAGGGGGAGGAGCGAAGCGCUCUGCUGAGGCAGAACGACCGUGCGUGCAAGCGAGCUGAGCUGCUUGAGGCCACAGACUCAACCUGUUGCUCUCAGGCAGUGAUGAUGGCAAAGGAGCUGAAGAAGGAGCAGGACACUAGUGCCCAUCUGGAGAGGAUGAUGAAGAAGAAGAACAAAGGUUAGGAACCAGUCCGCCUUCAGCUCAUGGACAAGCUGCAGACCAGGUUGAAGAGUUACAGGCUGAAGCAUCAGAGGAGCAGGCAAACACCAACCUCCAAAACCAGCAUGAUGAUGCACAGGGGGGCUCAUACGGCCGAAUCACAGGUCAACGACAUCCAGAUCCACACCCGGGACCGGGAAGAAGAGUAAACUGAAUGCAUGUCAUACUACAGUAUGCCGCCAAAUUGUGUGACCUUUUUAGAAGUAUUUGUUCAACGUAGCCAGCGGGCUGCAUAACGAGAACUAAUCUCAGGCGAGACCGGACGUAAUCCUCCGUUGAGGAUGAACUCCCAUCAUGUGAUCUCUAGCGCAGCCGGGAGUAACUGGGCGACACUGUGUAUGCGGUUGCUAAUAAACAGCCCUGUCUUGUGUAUUUCAGCAUGCUGAGUGACGGGAGGCGGAGAGCUACGGACAAACAUGUCACAGCAAGCCAGCUGCAACAGCUGUGCUCCACUGUGACAACACGGCCCAAAUAAAGACUUCAGAAAUGUACCUUACUGGGCGUUUUCUUUUACCAGUGUGCGAUAAAGAUAGCAAUCCCACAGUGAAGGUCUAAAGAGGAAUUUAUUAUAUCAUUAAUUUGACAAACAGCUGUUAAAUAAGGAAAAGUUAAAUAUACCAGCAUUAGAGGAACAUGGUUACAGAAGUAGCUAUAGUAGAAUGUGAAACCUAAAACAUUAAUCUUCCCCGUUUGUCAUUAACCAGUCAAUCAAUGGUCAAGAAAAAGGUCAAAAUAGAUGUGUGCAGAGGUGAACCUUUGAAAUAACCAUGUGGGAUUUAUGCAUUAUUCAAUGCAAACAUGGGUUCUUACCUAAAAUUGAAUAAUUACGAGUACACCAUCAACAGUAUCCGCUGCUCGCAUCUAUUAAAGGUCGUUCCCUUCAACAAACGACGGCGGCCAUCGUUCAUGGUGAGGUGACAAUCUUAUUUGAUCCAAAAAAAUAAAGCACCAUAUGGUCAGUUUAGUGAGUUCAAAACAGUCUUCAUGCCAAACAUCACAUGAAUCUCCAGUAAAUAAAGUCAAAGCUUCAGGGAUCUAAAAAUAAGUGAUUUGCUCAACACUGCAGCGUGUUCUGGGCCGAGGGGAUAACAUGUCACCAUUUCCUGUACAAACGCAUGGAUGAAAUCUAAGGCCUACUAGGAGCAUCACACCACA
ensembl:lncRNA